AUUGAACGCUGGCGGCAGGCCUAACACAUGCCAGUCGAGCGGAUGAAGGGAGCUUGCUCCUGGAUUCAGCGGCGGACGGGUGAGUAAUGCCUAGGAAUCUGCCUGGUAGUGGGGGAUAACGUCCGGAAACGGGCGCUAAUACCGCAUACGUCCUGAGGGAGAAAGUGGGGGAUCUUCGGACCUCACGCUAUCAGAUGAGCCUAGGUCGGAUUAGCUAGUUGGUGGGGUAAAGGCCUACCAAGGCGACGAUCCGUAACUGGUCUGAGAGGAUGAUCAGUCACACUGGAACUGAGACACGGUCCAGACUCCUACGGGAGGCAGCAGUGGGGAAUAUUGGACAAUGGGCGAAAGCCUGAUCCAGCCAUGCUGCGUGUGUGAAGAAGGUCUUCGGAUUGUAAAGCACUUUAAGUUGGGAGGAAGGGCAGUAAGUUAAUACCUUGCUGUUUUGACGUUACCAACAGAAUAAGCACCGGCUAACUUCGUG
rnacentral:rRNA from 1 species